CUACGGGGGGCAGCAGUGGGGAAUAUUGCACAAUGGGCGCAAGCCUGAUGCAGCCAUGCCGCGUGUAUGAAGAAGGCCUUCGGGUUGUAAAGUACUUUCAGCGGGGAGGAAGGGAGUAAAGUUAAUACCUUUGCUCAUUGACGUUACCCGCAGAAGAAGCACCGGCUAACUCCGUGCCAGCAGCCGCGGUAAUACGGAGGGGGCAAGCGUGAUCGGAAUUACUGGGCGUAAAGCGCACGCAGGCGGUUUGUUAAGUCAGAUGUGAAAUCCCCGGGCUCAACCUGGGAACUGCAUCUGGAUACUGGCAAGCUUGAGUCUCGUAGAGGGGGGUAGAAUUCCAGGUGUAGCGGUGAAAUGCGUAGAGAUCUGGAGGAAUACCGGUGGCGAAGGCGGCCCCCUGGACGAAGACUGACGCUCAGGUGCGAAAGCGUGGGGAGCAAACAGGAUUAGAUACCCGCGUAGUC
rnacentral:rRNA from 1 species